rnacentral:rRNA from 1 species
GUGCCAGCAGCCGCGGUAAUACGAACCGUCCAAACGUUAUUCGGAUUUAUUGGGCUUAAAGGGUAUGUAGGCGGCGCCAUCAGUCGGGUGUGAAAGCCCUCGGCUCAACCGAGGAACUGCGCCCGAUACUGUGGUGCUUGAGGGAGACAGAGGUAAGCGGAACUGAUGGUGGAGCGGUGAAAUGCGUUGAUAUCAUCAGGAACACCAGUGGCGAAAGCGGCUUACUGGGUCUCUUCUGACGCUGAGAUACGAAAGCUAGGGGAGCGAACGGGAUUAGAUACCCUCGUAGUCC